AACGCACCUUGCGCUCCUUGGUAUUCCGAGGAGCAUGCCUGUUCGAGUGUCUUUAAACAAUCGACCCCAAUCUUUUUUGGGGCUCGGAUCUUUGGACGUGCUGCGGUUCCCUCCCCGGUGCCGCUCGUCCCAAAUUGAUUAGCCGUGAUUACACAAAGGCUUGUGGAGUGUAAAACAUGCCUCCAUACCGCACAAGUGUCGUGGCUACCAACGGUCUGUAAAGACAAUGCAUUGUUACCUUUGGCCUCGAAUCAGGUAGGACUACCCGCUGAACUUAA
rnacentral:misc_RNA from 1 species